AUGAAUGCUGGACUUUGUGGUUCACUAUGAGCAGGAAGGUGGACGAUUAUGAGAUGGAGGUGUAGCUAUACCGAGUGUGCUGUGCACCAGACCGAGUUCUGGAGGUGAAAUGGAAGUGAAUGAGGAUGCAAAAUCCAACAUACAUAACCAAAAGAAUGUGGACACCUGCUCAUCUAACAUCUCAUUCCAGAAUCAUGGGCAUUAAUAUGGAGUUGGUCCCCCUUUGCUGCUAUAACAGCCUUCACUCUUCUUAGAAGGCUUUCCACUACAUGUUGGAACAUUGCUGCGGGGACUUGCUUCCAUUCAGCCACAAGAUUACUAGUGAGGUUGGGCACUGAUGUUGGGCGAUUACGCCUGGCUCGCAGUCGACGUUCCAAUUCAUCCCAAAGGUGUUUGAUGGAGUUGAGACAGGGCUCUGUGCAGGCCAGUCAAGUUCUUCCACACCGAUCUCGACAAACCAUUUCAUUUCGGUAUGGACUUCACUUUGUGCACGAGAGGAUUGCCAUGCUGAAACAGGAAAGGGCCGUCCCCAAAAUGUUGCCACAAUGUUGGAAGCACAGAAUCGUCUAGAAUGUCAUUGUGUGUUGUAGCAUUAAGAUUUCCCUUCACUGGAACCAAGGGGCCAACCCGAACCAUGAAAAACAGCCCCAGACCAUUAUCACAUUACACCAUUCCUCUACACUACUCUAUAGGCUGGUUCCCUAGCCUCACACUAACCCUAGCAGAUACAUUUCCUGCCGUUCUGCCCUUGAGCAAGGCACUUAACCCCCCACAAUUGCUCUCCAUUCAGGGGUGCUGCACUGCAGAUAACCCUUUGCCUCUCAACAUGUGUUUGUGUAUCUGGGGGUGUUGGGAAAGGCAGAAGACAAAAUUACCAUUCUAUCCAAUGGACAACAAAGUUGGAUUGUAAUCUAUUCUGGUUUCCCAGACUCACAUUAAGCCUACUGCUGGAUUAAUAAACCUAGUCCAGGACUACGGAGCACUUUAAACCUAGUCCAGAGGGCCGUAUGUCUCAAGUGUCUCAGAAUAGAAGGGCUGAUUUAGGAUCAGUUUUGCCUUUUACAUCAUAAUGAGUAAAAUUACAUGGACCGAGGGAACCUGAUCCCAUAUCAGCACUCCUACCCUGAGAUGCUUGAUACAUGUGGAUCCUGGACUCAGAAAUACCCAUCAGGCUUUACUUCUUUCCAAGAUCAACUGGGUCAUAUUCAUUACGGCAGAACAUAGCAAAAUGUUAUGAAAAUGGAAACAAGUGUGUCUUAUUCGACAAGUUCAGGUAGCCCCUCCCUGUUUGAUGAUUAUUAAUCCUCUUGACAAAUUUAAAAUGUUAAAGUAUUUUUAAAUGGUAUUGGCUUGCCGAUUCCCUCUAAUUGAAGAGAUAUGGUAAUGUGGUAAUAAAUAGCUUCUAGCAGUGGAACAUUUCAGAUAGAAAUGUCAUGAAUAGAGCAACAUUUUGCCAUACUGAACGCACCACGGAAGGAGAGAGAAACAUUUUAACAAGUUAAAAGCAUAAUUACCUAUUAGUAAUUUAAUAGGAUCUCUGUGGUUAAAAUCUUGACAAUAGAUCAGACAUAAUGAUUUAUUCCAGUUUCUUAGAUUACAUCAAGGUCAGACACACCGGCAGAGAAAUAGUUUGAUGAAUUUAUCGGGAACUGAAUCUCUAGCGAACAGUAGAGGAGCAGCAGCACAGAUUUUGAAGGCCAGAACCUCAACAGACAUACAGCCAUCCACGAGAUGAACUCUCUGUAGUUUGAAGGAAGUUGCUAACUAGCGUCCAUUGCAUUAACACAAGUUAGCAAUCGCUCGGGAAACUACCUUAUACUUCCUUCAAACUGCACGCAGAGACAUACAAAUGGUAUCCAUGAGUUCAUCGGACUCUGAGUAAGUAGAAAAAAGGAUAGCAAAAAUCAUGCACUAUCCCUUUAAAAUGUCAAGCUUAAUUGCCAAAAUCACUUUAAAAAGA